UACAUGGGGUGCAAACGUUGCUCGGAAUCAUUGGGCGGAAAGCGCGCGUAGGCGGUUACACAAGUUGGAUGUGAAAGCCCUCGGCUUAACUGAGGAAGUGCAUCCAAAACUGUGCAGCUAGAGUACUAAAGAGGGUCGCGGAAUUCCCGGUGUAGAGGUGAAAUUCGUAGAUAUCGGGAGGAACACCGGUGGCGAAGGCGGCGACCUGGGUAGAUACUGACGCUGAGGCGCGAAAGCGUGGGGAGCAAACAGG
rnacentral:rRNA from 1 species